rnacentral:tRNA from 1 species
GCCUAGCUGGCUCAGUCGGUAGAGCACGUGACUCCUGAUCUUGGGGUUGUGAGUUCAAGCCCCACACUGGGCA